CUUUUUUUUUUCCCUUCCAAAUCAGACAGUGAAUUACAGAUUUCAUUCCUAAAUCACAAUUCACUCCGUCACUUGAUUACCCUAAACUAAUCUCAUUGUAGUCGGUUUCUCCAAUCUCUCGUCGUCGUCUCCAACUCCCGUUGCAAUCCAAUUCAAGCGCUUUUUCCUAGCUCCUAUAUUACUUCUAAAGCCUGAAAUCAACUUCAACUUACCGAGACACCGACAGUCCGACUCCGUAGCUGCAAGCUAAUCCAAUAUUCGUUUCCUUGUUUGAUCUGGUUCGAUUUUUUUGUUUUGACUAUUUUGCUUGAGUGUUAAUUUAUGUUUGGAUUUUUCUUUCAGGUGCCUAUGUGUUUUAUAAAUUGUUCUGAAGAUCCCCGUUCAAUUGCACAUAGUACUAUUUUUACAUUUAUAUUUCAGUGUUUGCUUAUUGUUCAGUUUAGCUUAAGUUGUUUAAAUUGUUCUGAAGACCCCUGCUUUAUCUUAUGGAAAUCUGAAAUCUAUUGCAUUUAUAUGUGUAAUUUGAAAUCUGUCAUCCAUAUUUGAGAUUGUGGAAUGCAUCUGUAAACUGUUUCUAUUUGAAUCCGUAAAUCUAUAAUCCUUGUUUGAGAUUGUGGAAUCCAUAUUUCUAUUUAACCUUUGUAACUUGUAAGUGUAGAUUAACAAUCUGAAAAUCCUUUAUUUGUAAAAUGUAAAUCUGUAAUCUGUAAUUUUAUUUAAUUUGCCUUAGUAACUAAAAUCUGAAAUUUAAUGUAAUACAUGUACACAAUGUGCAGGUGUUCGAAUAUGGAUGUUGACAAUGAAUGUGAAUACAUUGGUGAAAUCCCAGCAACAUCAAUUCCAGGUAGAAAUAUUAUGAAUCUUACACCACUUCCAUUGUUAUGUUUAGGGAAGAGAAAUCACAACAAGAAAACUUCGGAUGUAUGGAAUCAUUUCACGAUAAUGGGAGAUCCAAAAGAUGAAGAUGUUAGGUGUGAGUGUAAAUAUUUUGGGCAAUCUUAUACCUGUGGGGCUAAGAAAUAUGGACUAGUACUUUAAGAUGUCAUUUAGUUAAACAUUGUUAAAAAGUAUCCUAGUAGGGUAGGUGACAAAAGGCAAAAAAAUCUUUAGUUUUGAUAAACAAGUUGAUGCUGGUGGGACCAAUCUUAUGGCUAUUGGGUUUAGUAAGGAAGCGUGUAGAUUAGCAUGUGCAAGAAUGGUGGUUGAUUUUCCAUUGCGUAGGACUAUUGUGAGGGAUAUUUACCAACUAUAUUUGAGUGAGAAAUUAGAGUUGAGAAAGAACCUUACUACUCAACGUCAAAGAGUUUCACUUACUAUAGAUACUUGAACAUCCAUUCAAAAUAUAAAUUAUAUGUCUCUUACAGCCCAUUACGUUGACUCUAAUUGGAUGCUUAAGAAAAGAAUUUUGAAUUUUUGAGUGAUACCUAAGCACAAGGGUAAAACCAUCGGCAAGGUUAUAGAAAUUUGCUUGCACGAGUGGGGCCUUGACAAGGUGUUUACAAUCACAGUGGAUAACACUAGCGCAAAUGAAAUGGCUAUUUCAUAUCUUAGAAGGAAGAUGAUUGGUUGGGGGUAAUGAUGGGUGUGUUUUGGAUGGAAAAUAUUUCACAUGAGAUGUUGUGCACAUAUCAUUAACUUGAUAGUGUGUGAGGGGCUGAAGGAAGCACAUGAUUCAAUAGUUAGUAUUCGUAAUGCAGUGAAGUAUGUAAAAUCCUCACUUGCUAGAUAUGAAAAAUUGAAAGAGUGUGCAACCAAAGAAAGAUCGAAUCAAAAUCACUUGUGUUUCUAGAUAUAUCUACGAGGUAGAAUUCUACCUAUUUAAUGUUGGAGGCUGCUUUGAAGUAUCAAAAAGCUUUCGAGCGCUUAGAAGAGGAGGACGGACAUUACUUAAGUUAUUUUCGAAAUGAUGAUGGUGGUAGAAGAAGAUGUGGACCCCCUUUAGUACGUGAUUGGGAAAAUGCAUCUAUUUUUGUCAAAUUUCUUAAAGGAUUUUAUGAAAUCACUUUAAAGUUCAGUACUUCAUUACAUGUUAGCUCCACAAUUUAUCUUCGUGAAGCAUGUUCACUUGUAGCGGAUUUAGCAUAUUAGAGUUCAAGUAAAAAUUAUCUUUUAGGUGAAAUGGUUACUAAUAUGCAGAGAAAAUUUGAUGAGUAUUGGGGAAAUAUGGACAAUGUCAAUCAAAUGUUGUUGACUGCUACCGUGCUUGAUCCCAGAUAUAAAUUAGAUGAUGUUCAGUAUUGUUUUUGUGAUAUUUAUAAUGAUAAAAAAAUGGCUAGUACAAUGACCCAAACAUUGAAGGAAAUUUGUUUUCUAUUUAUGACUGGUAUGUGAUGUAUGAGGGAAGUCCACAAAGCGGUCAAGUAUUGAUGGAUACAUCUGCAAGUGGGUCAUCUUCUACAAGUCAAGUCAGCUCCACUUGUAGUGCAUCUUCUGCUCGUAUUUUCAAGUUUAAGGAACAACAAGCCGCAAAAGAUUCAGUUGAGAUAAAAUGACUUGGAAAAAUAUUUAUCGGAUGCUUGCGAAGAUAUAGAGAAUGAGGAGUUUGAUGUCCUUGAUUGGUGGAAGGUACAUGGAAGUAAGUAUAGAACAUUUGUCCAUACUUGCAAAAGAUGUGUUGGCAAUUCAAGUGUCUACUGUGGCUUCAGAAAGUGCUUUCAGUAUGGGUGGAAGAAUUCUAGACCCAUUUCGUAGUUUUUUAACUGCUAAGAUGGUCGAGAUUUUAGUUUGCACUCAAAAUGGCUCAAAUCUAUUCCAAGCGAAGACAAAUUUUACAUGGAGGAUGUAGAGUAUUAUAAUAAAUUGGAUGAAGGUAAUUAUUAAUCAACUAUUUCAUUAAGUGUGUUAAUUACAUGUGUUUCAAAUUCAUUUACUACCAAUUGAAUCAUUUUAUUUUUUAGAUCUUUCAGACGUAACGAAAAGGGAUGAAGAUUCCAACAUCAAAGAUAAAUAAGUCAUUUUAUGUGUUCCUGUAAGGUAAUUUUAUUGUUUUGCAUCGCAUUUGAUCAUAUCUUUACAAUGAAAUAUAAUUUAAGUUACCACAUUUUGUAGGUGAAGAUGAUUCAAAAUGAUGUUCGUGCUUGAUAGACAACUUUUGGAACUUCGAUUUCACUUUCGUGGACAUUUUAUUUUCCUCGAGUCUAUACAUUAGAUGUUAACAAAAUUUAUUUUUUGUGCUUGAGUUUCUUUGUUGUAACAUAAAUCUUAUUUUCUUACUCUUGACUUUGGAUUAUAUUGGGAUGGAAAAAAACUUGAUGAAGAUUCGGUUUGGUUAUGGUUAUGUGUUGAUUAUUGACUAUGUCAGUGUGAGUGGUUAAAUUGAAUGGAA
rnacentral:lncRNA from 1 species